AUGCGGGGGCCGGCGAGGGCUCCGAGGAGAGCGCCCGCCCCGGCCCCGACCCCCGCCCCCAGGUGGAGGUGGAUUACGUGCCGGAGAAGCCCGGCCUCGGCGCCGACGACCCCCCUCCUCCUCGGCGCCUUCGCGGCCGUCUUCGAGAAAUUCGGCCUCACGGGCCCCGCCGCCGCCGCGCCCGCCGAGGUCUCCGGGCCCUCCUUUCCCCCGGCCGAGGGCGAGGAGAAUGAGAGGGAAGGCGAUGCGGAUGCCGCGGUGAACAAGGGGCCAGAUGCUGCUGCUGCUGCUGAGCAGGAGGCCCCAAAGAAGGAGGAGGAAGCAGCUGUCCUGUCGAAGAAGCAGAGGAAGCAGCUGCGGAGGGUGAAGAUUUCAGAGCUGAGGCAGAUGUGCAGCAGGCCUGAUGUUGUUGAGGUCUGGGAUGGUAAUGCCCCUGAUCCGAAGUUGCUCGUAUGUCUCAAGUCCUGCAGGAACACCGUGCCUGUUCCGAGACACUGGUGCCAGAAACGAAAGUACUUGCAGGGACUGUUGUAA
rnacentral:rRNA from 1 species